rnacentral:rRNA from 1 species
CUUGGUCAUUUAGAGGAAGUAAAAGUCGUAACAAGGUCUCCGUUGGUGAACCAGCGGAGGGAUCAUUACCGAGUUUACAACUCCCAAACCCCUGUGAACAUACCACUUGUUGCCUCGGCGGAUCAGCCCGCUCCCGGUAAAACGGGACGGCCCGCCAGAGGACCCCUAAACUCUGUUUCUAUAUGUAACUUCUGAGUAAAACCAUAAAUAAAUCAAAACUUUCAACAACGGAUCUCUUGGUUCUGCAUCGAUGAAGAACGCAGCCCCCCCGUGCCCCCGCCCCGCCCGCCGCGCGCGACGGGCA